AUAAAGUAAAUAAAUAAAUGUACUCAGCUCUGCUAAACCGGUAAAGAAAUAAAAUAGAGCACCUCCAGGCAGAAACAUCUCUUUGUUUCCUGUACUUCUGUUGUGUUGUGACUGUUUGCAACACAGCUGUGUUUUUGCUUUAUUAAAUUCUUGCAUGUGCUGCAGGUUAUAUUUGGUUGUGCUAUCUGUGCUUGCAAGCAUUUUCUCCAUUUACAUCAUGUUUUUGAUGCAACUACCUGCUGUGAAUUAAUUAAGCUUAUUUUUUGUGUUUCUUAGCAUAUUUUGCAUUUCUGAGUGUUGUCUUAAUUUGGAAGUGCUGUGGCCUCUCUAGGCCACCAUACAUUUAUUUCUUGCAGUGCUCAGUUCUGACAGUGUGACAACAAAUGUGAAAAAGAGAAACAAGACGAUAUGAGUUUGUAAGGGCAACAAAAGUGAAUCAGGGAAAGGCAGUGUGAAUAGUUUUUUAUUGUAAUUAAGUGGACUUUAAAUGUGAGGUGUUGAAUGUUUAGUGAUAAAGUAGUUGUACGAUUUGUACAUGGGUUUUUAUAGAGCGGGCAGUUGUGUAGUGGUAGUGUUAUGCUUAGCUGCAGACUGUUGCACAGAAACAGAACAGCCACUAAGACAAUCUGCUGCACGUGAACGCAGCACUCAGACGCAGCCGAGGGUCUCUUACAGUCUCAGCCAUAGACAGAUGAAUGUGUCACGUCACUUCUCAGACAGACACCUUGCUCUCCAUCUGCUCUUCGCUCAGUAAUAUCAGACUCACCGUUACAGCGAAGUUCAUCACCAGGCUUUAAUUUCUAACUUGCAUGAUAACCAGUGUCCACAGUUUUUACCAUUUGUGUGUGAUUUGUGUACAUGCCAUGUCUGAAACUGCCGUCCGUGCAGUAUCUUUUGUUAUUCUUUGAAAAGGACUUGUGUAUAAUGUAACUAUGGUUUAUGAUAAUGCUGCAUAUGCAAUGCAAUGAUGCUCAAGAAUUUGCCAAAGUUUGUUACAUCACUUGCUUUUGAGAGAAAAUAAUAUCCAGAUACUGCAAAUAACUGCUAACAUAAUUUACUGUUAGAACGUUUAGUAUAGAGGCAUAGUACACAUCUCAAGAUAUUGUUCGAAAAAAGUUCAGUUUCCUCUCUUUGGAAAUAGUUCAAGAGCUGUUAAAUUGUAGAAAUUUCAGUAGAUUUAUGUGUAAAUUUCAUUUAUGCAUAAUUAAACAGGUUAAUUGAAAUGAUCUGAUGAUGCUGUGCAACAGUGUUGUUAGGUAAUUAAUUCAUGAAAUGGGAUGAGUUACAAGCUGAAAAUGCAGAGAGAAAUGCAACUGGUCUUACAAAAAUAAAUGCAUGAUUACUUUUGCUGAUGCCAAUAAAGAAUUCAACAGAA